AGAUUCAAAAAGAGGUCUGGGCAAUGUAGGAAGCGAUGAUUCACAUCCUUUAGAAGGUGCAGACGACUGGAAGUCGAGGGCUUAGGGUUUAGACACAGAGAGAGAGAGAAAGAGUCGAUCUGGUUUUCGUUUACGUGAAGAUGAAGGAGAGGAAGGGAGAAGAAGGGCAAAGGACGAGGAAAGAG